AGAGUGAACGCUGGUGGUAGGCCUAACACAUGCAAGUCGAACGGCAGCACAGUAGGAGCUUGCUCUUACGGGUGGCGAGUGGCGGACGGGUGAGGAAUACAUCGGAAUCUACCUUUUGGUGGGGGAUAACGUAGGGAAACUUACGCUAAUACCGCAUACGCCCUUCGGGGGAAAGCCGGGACCAGCAAUGGCCUGGUGCUGAUAGAUGAGCCGAUGUCGGAUUAGCUAGUUGUGAGUAUGGCUCACCAAGGCGACGAUCCGUAGCUGGUCUGAGAGGAUGAUCAGCCUACACGUGGAACUGACGUACACGGUCAGUACUCCG
rnacentral:rRNA from 1 species